CUCCCUCUCACAGAUGGAGCCAGAAGUAAACAGCUCUUACACGUUUUCAAAUAGAAAUUAAAGAAUAAACAUGACUUUAAAAAGGGAUGGUUCUGAAAUGGGUCAACUCUACAACCAUUGUGUAAUUUCACUUUGCAAUAUUUUCUUAGCUAAAUAGCACACCUGGAGCUGAUUGACAAACAAGGGCAUACACACACACGUUAUUAAUAUGUUCACACACACUGCUCAGAAUUUCUUUAAUUACGAUUAAACAUCUUGACCUUAAGUAAUAAAAAUAGAGCAAUCGAUGUUUUGUGUUUGCAUUUGAAAUCCAGUCUGGCGUACCCCCAGCGCCCGACACACACACACACACACACACACACACACACACACACACACACACACACACACACACACACACACACACACACACACACACACACACACACACACACACACACACACACACACUACUCUCUUCGCUUUACAAAGUGGACUCAUAGAUUGAACCUGGACAUGAGUUCUAUAACUUUGUACAGCACGGUAACACAUUUUUGAUAUCUAUACAAAUAUGCAUUGUGUUUAGUGUGCAUCAUAUGUAUCGCCAUUAAUUGGUUCUUGUUUUUUUUAAUACGCAGCAAGGCGUCGUCAGCACUGUUAGUACCCCAUUGUGGCCACUUAAGUAAGACUCGUUAUUGCAAACUAUCGUUGAUUUAAACAAAUGCACAACAUUCGUAUUGCUAUUGUUAUGUUCAAACUGGAGCCGCCUCAAGCCGGUCUCACAGAGACCAAGAGUUUGCCGCUGGGCUGGUUGACCACAAUCUAUAACAGCCUCAAAUAAACACAAUAAAAGUAGGAUUUUGUGAGAUUUUGGAGUAGUCACAACAUAGUCAUCGUUCUCGUCAUAAGGCCAAGUGUAGUCAGUCUUUGCAAAUCCUUACCAGAUUUUUCUACCAAGUUACGGCCAUGAGAGGAAAAAAAUUAAGUUUAAGAAGAAAUUAAGGUGUGGACAGCCGUAUGCAUUUCUCUUGCAUAGUUGUAUAUAAUUACUCUCAGAGCAGGCCCACCGGCCAGCUCGCCCUUCAGGAGGACUGGGCUCGGUAUUCUUUUUUUUUUUACAUUUCUUAAGACUGACUUUUGUGAACCAGAAAAUAAGGAACACCUUGAGUCACCAUUACGUGAUGAAACGCCAGAGUUGGCUAGAGUCACUGCCGAGCUAGCAAUGGUCGGUGGUAUAAUGGGUGGUUCCCAAGGUUUAGCCCUACCUAACCUUCUGAAACAGUCAGUGAGACGUACUACAUGUGCCAUGCUGUUGAUGCUUCCCCAUUCAAGGUCAGUACACUUGUCAGGAAUGUGAAGAGUCACACACUCCUUCGGCGACAGACAUGUUUCUGAGGCAUGAUGUCGGCCCAGCCAGAGCUGGCUGGAUCGGUUUGACAGGAGAGCACGGGGUCGGCCUCCCAACAUACAGCUACAGAGGAUGAUCAGUCAACUCCUUCACCAACCCCUGACCUAGAGGCGGCCUUCAUCUGUAUUCAGCCGUUACUCGAAUAGAGAGGUUCCUCCUGAUAAAAAUCCACUUCCAAUGUUCCUACGUUGUAUUCAGUAGAUGGCAAUGUUCAUUCAAUAUUGAGUAUAUAAAUAUAAGUUGUAUUUUAAAAGGUCUCAGAAAAAUAUAAUUAAAAGCAAACACACAAGCGAGCUUCUCAAAUCCUGUCCUCAAUGAGUAGUGCCAAAAAUCACCCCUUAGUACAUCGACUUAAUCUGCCCCUCACCUCUCAAACCUCAGGGACGCCUUUUCCCAUUGGCUAAAGUUAGGGCGAGGUGAUAAUCGUAUAACCACUGGUAAGUCUGCAACAAUAAAUGCCAACAAAUAGAGCAAUUGCAUAACUCCUGUUUGGUGCGGUCCCUUUGGCUUUUUGUCGACCUUUGAGGCUGACCCAGAGCCUGAAAGACUUUGGCCACAUUGUACCAAGGCUGCCACUCACAAAGUUGUCUCAAUGUUGUUAUUAUAAACGACUGCACAAGCAAUAUUGUGGACCAUUUGGUUGCUGGCAACACUCAUGAUUUAUUGCACUAUUCUACCGUGGGUUGAGAUAACACUGGUAACUUAAUGUGGACUUGGAAAGUGCUUGAAUGCAUGUUAUACUUGUGGCUCUGGGUUUGCCUUUAACAACGGUGUUGACAAUGUUUAGAUGAGUGCAGGUGUGGCACAGACUGCUGAUUUGGUGCUACAUUACCACACCCACACAAACGACUUUCAUCAG
ensembl:lncRNA